CAUUCACGGAGAGUUUGAUCCUGGCUCAGGACGAACGCUGGCGGCGUGCUUAACACAUGCAAGUCGAACGAUGAAGCCCUUCGGGGUGGAUUAGUGGCGAACGGGUGAGUAACACGUGGGCAAUCU
rnacentral:rRNA from 2 species